rnacentral:rRNA from 1 species
GACGAAGGGGGCUAGCGUUGUUCGGAAUUACUGGGCGUAAAGCGCGUGUAGGCGGCUGCCAAAGUCGGGUGUGAAAGCCUUGAGCUCAACUCAAGAAUGGCACUCGAUACUUGGUGGCUAGAGGACCGGAGAGGAUAGUGGAAUUCCCAGUGUAGUGGUGAAAUACGUAGAGAUUGGGAAGAACACCAGUGGCGAAGGCGGCUAUCUGGACGGUUUCUGACGCUAAGACGCGAAAGCGUGGGGAGCGAACAGG